rnacentral:ncRNA from 2 species
UGGAUGAGUCGUGACUGGCGAACAGGUGGGAAACCACCGGGGAGCGAUGAACAGGCACCAUAGCCGCCCGCCUGGGCUAAGGCG